GCCUGACAGACCGGUUCAGUUUUGAUUGGAUGUAGAAUGCUGUGCAAAUAAACCUACAUUUUGAAGAUAAUCUGGCACCUUUGAUGUCUGCCGCCAUUUAGUGGCAUCAACAGAAAUUACAGUCGAUUCGUCUUAAUGCAUGAAACAGAAAGAUGUGUGUUUAACGGGCCGGAAUAGAAAGCUCAGUGGGCUGCAUCUGGCCCACAGGCCGUAGUUUGCCGAGGUUUGCAAUAGACAAAAGCACCUGCAACAACUAGCUAAUGUUGAAAAUUAAACAAAAUAGGGAAACAGACAAAAACUAAUAUAUAUAAAGCAAUAGAAGUAAAAAAAAAACCCCAGUAGUGCAGUGUGAUGAUGUAUGGAUGUUUACCCUCCGGUACGUCUGUGAUGAUGAGUAGCAGACACAGACUGACGCACUAUGAUAAUGUCCAGUGAACUUCCUCCUGGACAUCAAACCCAACUGAAGUCUGGUUUGAUCACAAUUUCUUUAAAAGAUUCAGUUCAUUCCAACAAAAUCCAUUAUUCCAUUUCUUGGCUGUAAACAUUUGAAGCGUUCUCAGCCCCAAUCAUCUGGAACCAUGUUGUUACCAUCUGGCCACUUGGUCAAUAAUCUGUUACGUUCGGCCUCAUUUGCUUUCACUUUGCUGUGUCACCCGCAGUUCAGGAUGAGGGAGCGCUGAGGUGAGGACACAUCUGGAUUAAUCAUUAGUCCAGCAAAUGUGUGUUUGUGUGCAUGUAUGUUAGUGUGUGUUUGUGCGUGCCUAAAUGUACUAAAGAGUAAUCAUGUGUGUGAUUGGUAAAGGCAGAAAACAAAGUUUCCCUCAGAGUGUCACUAAGACGCUGAAACAAUAACCAAGGAAAAGAAAGGAAGGAAACCACGGACUGAGAGCUGCCACAAAGCGUAUUCACUACUUUUUGAAUCAACACGGAACUACACCACAAGUUCAACGAACCUGAAAACAGAGGCACCUGUGACAGUGUAGCUGCUGUCAAUCCCAGCACAGAUGCCACAGUAUCUUCUGCAGGAUGCCGGGGUCACCACCUCCCGUCGGUGCCACAUUUGUCUUCUCUGUACAUCAACUCCAUCAACUCUUCCCAGGACAUUCCUCUCCUACUCCCAAAUUCCCAAACGGGUCAUGCUCAACAACGUGGAAACAGCCGGAUCACGAGCUUCACCAGGGAACAUCUCCACAUACCUUCGACAUGUCUGCGCAGGAGUGUGUGUGUAGGUUCAACUGUGUGUGUGUGUGUGUAGGUUCAACUGUGUGUGUGUGUGUGUGUAUAGAAUACGUGGCAAUGUGUAAUAAAAUUAUGUGUGUGUGUGUGUGAGUCAUGGUGGAUUUGACAAAGUAAUGAUGGCUUACAAGGAAGUCCACAGUCUUACAUGAUGUAGCCACACACACACACACACACACACACACACACACACGUAUUUAAACAAG